GCUGGGCAUGGUGGUGCAUGCCUAUAAUCUCAGCUACUUAGGAGGCUGAGGCAGGAGAAUCACUUGAACCCGGGAGGCAGAGGCUGCAGUGAGCUAAGAUCCUGCCACUGCACUCUAGCCUGGGUGAAGGAGUGAGACCCUGUCUCAA
ensembl:misc_RNA Metazoa_SRP Metazoan signal recognition particle RNA